UGCCCUGCGCGCUGGGGCGCCCCCUGACGGGCGAGGCCGGAUCCCCGAGACAGCGGGACACGGGACAGCGGGACACGGGACACGGGACAGCGGGACACGGGACAGCGGGACGGCGGGACACCGACCCCGCUCCAGUCGCGGGAGAGGCGUUCGGAAGAAGAGGGAGAAGCAGAAGUUUUAACCAUCUUCCCAUGGCAUCUGACUUUUUUGAGGAAGGAGAAUGCACCCAAGAGCAGAAGCAGUGAGGUUCACAGUGGGGAAAAUGAACCCAGCAGUCCAUCCUAUCCCAUACCUGCCUGAGUACAGGAAGAGACCUCAUACAAGCCAGAAUGCAUCUGGGCUUGCAGCUCUUUUUAAUCAUAUUAAGUCCUAUUCAGAGUUAAUGGUGAGCUCAGUGAGGUGAGAUGGUCUCAGCAAUGCUGAAGAAGGGAUGAAGAGAAUUGGAAGGCAGAGCUGUUUCAAAACAGGAUUCUUCUUUCCAUAAUGCCCAAACAUGAAGACUUUUAAACUUCAUUAGAUCCUGCCAUCAAUGACUGAGCCUCCCUGAAAUCUUCUUAUCAGUUACUGCCAAGAUGAGAAGGAUAACAGGAAGGAGGAGUGCUUAAGUGGCUUUAAUGACAGUUAAUUUCAUCUAUUUAUCAAAUGACAGGUUGUUUUUUCCUCAAAACUCGAUUGUCAUGACAAGAUGCUUUUGCAAGUCAUCUUUGUAAAAUAAAACUGACAAUUUUUAGGCUACAAAGAGCUAUUGUAUCUUUCUAUACAAUGUUGUCAUUAUGGUAAACCUCUGGAAAGUCUUUAUUUUUGAAGUAAUUUAACUUGCAUACUUCAUUCAUUUAUUUGAAUGUCUGUUGAAUGCUAUGUGAAAAGUUUCUUGCCAGAGUUCUUUUAUUCAAUGGAAUGGUUAUUCUUACAAUGCUCAAUUUAUUAUUGUCUAAAUUACUGUUGCCUUAGCCUCCUGCAAAAAUGUUUCUUUUUGGUAAUUCUUAAACAAAUAAGGAAUGAAUGAGGUUUUGUCCCAGUCGUGUUUUGAUCAGCAUAUUUUGCCUUUCAGUAAAAGUGUCUUCAGUUUUCAAAAUGACACAAAGAAAGGUGCUUUCCUAUCCCCCCCCCAACAGAACAUCUUUUGUGCAAUAAUUUUUUUAAUAUGUACACUGCCAAGAUGCAAUUACUGGAAGGAGAGAGAGAAGCUGUUGGGAAUGUCAUGUUAUGCCAAAUUAAGAAUUAUUAGCUCUUACUUUCUCUGCAGUCUCUUCGACUAGAACCCGACCUAUUGCGUCUGGCAUAUACUUUGGCUCAAGUGGAACUAAUGUGUCCUUGGAGUAGCAUUUUAGAGUUACUUCAGAUUCAUGUUUUUUUCACAAGUCUGCUUUAAACUGCUGGGAUUAACUUCAGAGAAGGCAAGAGAUACAGCCUCCUUUGUCAGCAGCUGUGCUGGUUAAAGAAGGAGGCUUCUUGCACGCUUGCUUGCUCCCUCUCUCCGGGAGGUUAUUGCCCCUGCUAGGGAAGCAAACUGAACUGCUUCCCUGAGCACACUCAGACUCAUUUCAGCCAAAGUUAAUUGUGUCAUCAAAUAUUAGGUAUCUAUCACCCUGGGUCACUUUGAUGAAAGGGCAGGGAAUACACAGACCAGCUGUGAGGACGGUGUGUCUGAAGGGUGGUGUGUUGACAAGAGGGUUGUUGAGGACUGGUCCUGGUGUAGCCUUUUCAGCAGGUGCAGUUUGCAUCUCUCGGGUGUUGUCAAAAUUGGACGUGUUAGAAAGCUGUGCAGUUAUGUCAUGUAUAAUAUUCACAUGUCAUGGAUAUCUUAGAUAAUACAAAAUAAACCUGUGCUUUUUGACUUACUCCUUCUGUGUGCCAGUGUGAGGGGAGAGACGUGACAUGAGUGUGUGUAUAUGGCAGACACCUAU